rnacentral:lncRNA from 1 species
UGGUGAGAAAAAAAUCUACAAUUUUAGAUUUUAAAUAUGGCAUAAGAUUUUAUUUAGGAAGAGGAUAGCAAGCAUUGAGAACAAAAAAUAUAUUUUGAGUGUGGAGUCUUUGUUUUAGCGUGAGAAUUUAUUUUGGCAUUUUAAGCGUAAGACUUUGUUUAGAAAAAGGAUAGGGAGUGUGGAUAUUUUGUUUUGAAUAUUUUGAGAGUCCUAA